rnacentral:sRNA from 1 species
GCUGGGCAUGGUGGCCUAUGCCUGUAAUCCCAGUGGCUCGGGAGGCUGAGGCAGGAGGAUCGUGCAUUCAAACCAGCUUCAGCAACUUUGAGGCACUAAGCAGCUCAGUGAGACCCUGUCUCUA